AACAACAGCAUAGCAUCUGCUUCUCAUAAGCUGCUCAGAGAGAAGGUCAAAGAGGCUCUUAUCCAAGGACAAUGGCAUGUUUACUUUUCAUUUAGAAAGAAGGCCUUGGAAAAAAUUAAAUGAAUAAACUUGUUAAUAAAGCAAAUGUGAAAAACCUGAGAAGAACCUCUUAAGAGCUCAUUGCCAGCUGGCACGGGGCAGUUGCCUGAAGACUCAGAGAAAGGCUGGCCUGGGAGGAAGAUUAGCAACCAUUUCCAUUCAUAACUGAACAGGGGUGCCAGGUGUUGGUGCAGGUUGUUUUGGAAUGUGGGCCUUGGCUGGACUUCCCAGCAACUUGCUAAAGUUGUCUCAACUCUGUCAGAAUAACAUCUGACACAAAGGACUUACUACGUGUGUCUAAGGCUGUUCAUAUAUAAAGUCACUGAAUCUUCAUAAGAAUCAUUUGAAAGAACUCAACCUAGCUCAUAUAAAUAGUAAGUGGCCAAAUUAG
rnacentral:lncRNA from 1 species